rnacentral:rRNA from 1 species
CCUACGGGAGGCAGCAGUGGGGAAUCUUGCGCAAUGGGCGAAAGCCUGACGCAGCAACGCCGCGUGCGGGAAGAAGGCUUUCGGGCUGUAAACCGCUUUCAGCAGGAACGAAAAUGACGGUACCGCAGAAGAAGGAGCGGCCAACUAUGUGCCAGCAGCCGCGGUGAUACAUAGGCUUCAAGCGUUGUCCGGAUUUAUUGGGCGUAAAGAGUUCGUAGGCGGUCGAGUAAGUCGGGUGUGAAAAUUCUGGGCUCAACCCAGAGACGCCACCCGAUACUGCUUGACUUGAGUUCGAUAGGGGAGUGGGGAAUUCCUAGUGUAGCGGUGAAAUGCGCAGAUAUUAGGAGGAACACCGGUGGCGAAGGCGCCACUCUGGAUCGAUACUGACGCUGAGGAACGAAAGCAUGGGUAGCAAACAGGAUUAGAUACCCUGGUAGUCCAUGCCGUAAACGGUGGGCACUAGGUGUGGGUUUCUAUUAACGAAAUCCGNGCCGUCGCUAACGCAUUAAGUGCCCCGCCUGGGGAGUACGGUCGCAAGCUAAAACUCAAAGGAAUUGACGG